rnacentral:rRNA from 1 species
CAGUCGCCGCGGUAAUACGUAGGUGGCAAGCGUUGUCCGGAAUUAUUGGGCGUAAAGGGCUCGCAGGCGGUUUCUUAAGUCUGAUGUGAAAGCCCCCGGCUCAACCGGGGAGGGUCAUUGGAAACUGGGAAACUUGAAUGCAGAAGAGGAGAGUGGAAUUCCACGUGUAGCGGUGAAAUGCGUAGAGAUGUGGAGGAACACCAGUGGCGAAGGCGACUCUCUGGUCUGUAACUGACGCUGAGGAGCGAAAGCGUGGGGAGCGAACAGGAUUAGAUACCCCGGUAGUCCCUGUCUCUUAUUC